rnacentral:rRNA from 1 species
CAGGGAAUCUUGCGCAAUGGGCGAAAGCCUGACGCAGCAACGCCGCGUGGGUGAUGAAGGCCUUCGGGUUGUAAAGCCCUUUUCUCGGUGAGGAUGAUGACGGUAGCCGAGGAAUAAGCACCGGCUAACUCCGUGCCAGCAGCCGCGGUAAGACGGAGGGUGCUAGCGUUGUUCGGAAUUACUGGGCGUAAAGGGCGCGUAGGCGGCCUGUUAAGUUGGAUGUGAAAGCCCGGGGCUCAACCUCGGAAUGGCAUCCGAUACUGGCGGGCUCGAGACCGGGAGAGGAGGGUGGAAUACCCAGUGUAGAGGUGAAAUUCGUAGAUAUUGGGUGGAACACCGGUGGCGAAAGCGGCUCUCUGGCCCGGUUCUGACGCUGAGGCGCGAAAGCGUGGGGAGCAAACAGGAUUAGAUACCCGCGUAGUCC